AUUGAACGCUGGCGGCACGCCUUACACAUGCAAGUCGAACGGUAACGCGGGGGCAACCCUGGCGACGAGUGGCGAACGGGUGAGUAAUACAUCGGAACGUGUCCUGUUGUGGGGGAUAACCCAUCGAAAGGUGAGCUAAUACCGCAUGAUCUGGAGACAGCAAAGCAGGGGACCGGUAACGGCCUUGCGCGAUUGGAGCGGCCGAUGUCCGAUUAGCUAGUUGGUGGGGUAAAGGCCCACCAAGGCAACGAUCGGUAGCUGGUCUGAGAGGAUGAUCAGCCACACUGGGACUGAGACACGGCCCAGACUCCUACGGGAGGCAGCAGUGGGGAAUUUUGGACAAUGGGGGCAACCCUGAUCCAGCCAUGCCGCGUGAGUGAAGAAGGCCU
rnacentral:rRNA from 1 species